GUCUACACCAUACCACCCUGAACGCACUGGAUCUCAUCGGAUCUCGGAAGCUAAGCAGGGUUGAGCCUGGUUAGUACUUGGAAGGGAGGCAGAAGGUUUUUGACC
ensembl:rRNA 5S_rRNA 5S ribosomal RNA